rnacentral:tRNA from 1 species
UUAAAAAUAAGCUAAAUCAAGCUUUUGGGCUCAUACCUCAAAUAUAAAGAAUUCUCUUUUUUUUAAA